rnacentral:rRNA from 1 species
GGAUCAAGGGAUCGGUCAUGCCUUGGUAUGUACUGGUCCUAUUGGUUCUCACCUUCUAAAGAACCAUAAUGUCAUUCAUUUGAUGUUAUGGGGAAUUAGGACUGUUACCUUGAAAAAAUUAGAGUGUUUAAAGCAGGCUUACGCUUGAAUACAUUAGCAUGGAAUAAUGAAAUAGGACAUCCGAUUCUAUUUUGUUGGUUCCUAGGAUCGAUGUA